UACGUAGGGUCCAAGCGUUGUCCGGAUUUAUUGGGCGUAAAGAGCUCGUAGGCGGCUCGGUAAGUCGGAUGUGAAAACUCCAGGCUCAACCUGGAGACGCCAUUCGAUACUGCUGUGGCUUGAGUCUGGUAGGGGAGCACGGAAUUCCUGGUGUAGAGGUGAAAUUCGUAGAUAUUAGGGAAGAACACCGGUGGCGAAGGCGGCGCUCUGGACCGAGACUGACGCUGAGGCGCGAAAGCGU
rnacentral:rRNA from 1 species